GUGCAAGGGUUCCAGAUUCAGGGAAUGAGGUAAAGUUCAGACUACACGACCCGAGAGUUAUCGAGGCCUGUGAGAAAACAGUGUGACCCGUGAGCUUGAAAGAAGAGAAAACACGUCUGAUGCUGCAAAACAGAAAAGGUGAGGAGGACCUUCGCCCGCCUCUCGAUGACGUCGAUCAGCUUGUCGAUGCCCUGUCGGCCGCCCUGGCUCUCCCAGUACGUCUGGUCCAGGAACAGAGACUGAAGGAGUCGUUCCCUCAGCCUCCUGCUCCUCAGCACCGACACCGCCUGCUCCGGGAGCCUGGACAGACACAGAAGUGGGGGAAAGGUUCAUGUCUGAGGAGCACAGGUGAUCUCGGCUGUUUUACUCUCUGCAAACAGCUGUAAAGGACGUUGCAAGAAAAUUUGACUUGGCUGCAACUUUAUCUUUAUCUAUAACGCUGCGAUACAGAGAAGAAUCACUAACCUCGGGUGUUAAAGGCACUGAAAACAACAACAUCUGGAGUGAAAGAACAACAAGGAAAGAAAGCAACAGACUUUUACCUGCUCAACACUCCAUAUAUCAAAGUAUAAAAUAAAUCCCACCCUAGUUAUAUGUUUUCUGUGCUUGGGAACUGAAAAAAGAGCCAAUAAAAUGAAUAAGAGAGGGACUGUGACGAUGACUUAACACGCUAACUAUAAACCUGACUCAUAAAAGAUAAAAGAUAAUUUAUGUAAUGCUACUUUUUAUCACUUAUUCCAAGUAAAUUUUUGUGCUUUGCCCCCACGCUGCCUGUUAAACCCUAACUUAGCGUUAAAUUUGAAAUAUUAACACUAAAAGCUGUUGUUUCUCUCAGUUCUCGGUUUAUUAGACAUUCCUUGUUAAAUCUGAUUCAGUCUUAUAGUCUAGUAAAAGGAUGAUUACAGUUAUAAUAUUUGUUUUUUAGGCAGAUGUUGAUUUAACUUCACGGCCAUUUGCGGUUGUUGUUUGUGAUGCUGUUGAACUGUGUUACUGAGAGGUAUUUCACAUAUUACCACAAUCUACAUAAAUGAGGGCACUGAAUUUAGAGUUGUCGCUCUAAUGCAACACAGUCAAACAGUAACACAACCUCCAAACUUAUUAAGUUGAGUAAACACCUCCACAAAACUCUGUCAGCAAACCAUGAUAAUUACAAACCUUGUGAAAGGAGAAUUAUUUUUA